UGCAGUCGAACGGUGAAGCCAAGCUUGCUUGGUGGAUCAGUGGCGAACGGGUGAGUAACACGUGAGCAACCUGCCCUGGACUCUGGGAUAAGCGCUGGAAACGGCGUCUAAUACUGGAUAUGAGCUCUCAUCGCAUGGUGGGGGUUGGAAAGAUUUUUCGGUCUGGGAUGGGCUCGCGGCCUAUCAGCUUGUUGGUGAGGUAAUGGCUCACCAAGGCGUCGACGGGUAGCCGGCCUGAGAGGGUGACCGGCCACACUGGGACUGAGACACGGCCCAGACUCCUACGGGAGGCAGCAGUGGGGAAUAUUGCACAAUGGGCGGAAGCCUGAUGCAGCAACGCCGCGUGAGGGAUGACGGCCUUCGGGUUGUAAACCUCUUUUAGCAGGGAAGAAGCGAGAGUGACGGUACCUGCAGAAAAAGCGCCGGCUAACUACGUGCCAGCAGCCGCGGUAAUACGUAGGGCGCAAGCGUUAUCCGGAAUUAUUGGGCGUAAAGAGCUCGUAGGCGGUUUGUCGCGUCUGCUGUGAAAUCCCGAGGCUCAACCUCGGGCCUGCAGUGGGUACGGGCAGACUAGAGUGCGGUAGGGGAGAUUGGAAUUCCUGGUGUAGCGGUGGAAUGCGCAGAUAUCAGGAGGAACACCGAUGGCGAAGGCAGAUCUCUGGGCCGUAACUGACGCUGAGGAGCGAAAGGGUGGGGAGCAAACAGGCUUAGAUACCCUGGUAGUCCACCCCGUAAACGUUGGGAACUAGUUGUGGGGACCAUUCCACGGUUUCCGUGACGCAGCUAACGCAUUAAGUUCCCCGCCUGGGGAGUACGGCCGCAAGGCUAAAACUCAAAGGAAUUGACGGGGACCCGCACAAGCGGCGGAGCAUGCGGAUUAAUUCGAUGCAACGCGAAGAACCUUACCAAGGCUUGACAUACACCAGAACACCGUA
rnacentral:rRNA from 2 species